GAGCUGGGGUUUGAUCCAUUGGAAAAUGACACAAAGAUAUGACUCACGCUGGAGAGUUUUUGUGGUUAUAUGGUCAACUGUUAUUUAAGGUCUACAGUUCAGUAGUUUCUUUGCCUUUGGCAGCAUAAUACUAUAAGGACACACAAAGAGUGGAGAACUCAGAAUCAACAAACUGGAGGCCAGAUGGUUGCUGCACAGAAGGACUAGAGUGCCAUGCUACUCCUGAAUCUGACUUUGCCCUUGAGGAACAUCCAUCAAUCAGGAAUUUGUGUGACGACAACAACAACCAUACAUUUUCCCAAUGCUCUGAACACACAAAAGAGACACAUCACGCUGGCCUUAAUGAAGAAUCAGAGAGUGAAGAUCCUCUUCACAUAGAUACAUUUGGUCACCCCCUACAUGAGUUUGUUGAGGAGGGAACUUAAGAUCAUAACCAGUCAUCUGAUGAUGACCUGUCCUUUGAUGAAGACCUAUUAUGUGAAGACAGUGCAGAAGCGAACAACUUGGUUUAAAAUGCCUUGGAAGUGUUUUUUUGGAAAGGACCAACAUGUAAAAUCAAUUAAAAUGAGCAUGGUGUAUCUGA